rnacentral:tRNA from 1 species
GGAGAGCUGGCCGAGUCGGCUGAAGGCGAUCGCCUGCUAAGCGAUUAUAUGGGCUUAAACCUGUAUCGCGGGUUCGAAUCCCGCGCUCUCCGCCA